rnacentral:rRNA from 1 species
UACAGAGACUGCAAGCGUUAUUCGGAUUCACUGGGCGUAAAGGGUGCGCAGGCGGUUGGGUGUGUCAGAUGUGAAAUCCCGAGGCUCAACCUCGGGUCUGCAUCCGAUACUGCCCGGCUAGAGGUAGGUAGGGGAGAUCGGAAUUCCUGGUGUAGCGGUGAAAUGCGCAGAUAUCAGGAGGAACACCGGUGGCGAAGGCGGAUCUCUGGGCCUUACCUGACGCUCAGGCGCGAAAGCUAGGGGAGCGAACUGG